AUGGCCGCUGCUCGGUGCUCCUCGUUCCCUGCUCUCUGCGUGGUGGUAGUAGUAGUGGUACUCAUCGGCGGCUGUGGCGCUGCGUCCGGCGCGGACGAAGAAGGGCUCAUCCACCUUCACUUCUACUUCCAUGAGGUCAACGCCGGCACGCCCAACGCCACCGUCCUCAACGUCGCCAGCCUGCACAAGAACUCGUCCACGUUCGGGGACCUGAACGUGUUCGACAACGCGCUGCGGGCGGGGCCGGACCCGGCGUCGCGGUUGGUCGGCAGAGCGCAGGGCCUGGCGCUCCACGCGUCGCUGGACGAGUCCGGCGGGCUCACGGCCAUCACCUUCGCCUUCUCCGACUACGGCGCGUACAGCGGCAGCACGCUGGCGACGCUGGGCCACAUCGGGGUGUCUGGCCCGGCGGAGCGGAGCAUCGUCGGCGGCACGGGCAAGCUCCGGUUCGCGAGAGGGUACAUGGUCAGCAGCCUCCUCAGCUCCACGAACACCUCCAUCGUCGUCGUCUUUGACAUGUACUUCACCCUGGGUCGCUGA
rnacentral:rRNA from 1 species